rnacentral:rRNA from 1 species
GGGUAAAGUAGCGGAGGACAUAUCAUAGGCGGAGGAGCAUAUCAAUAAGCGGAGGAGCAUAUCAAUAAGCGGAGGAGCAUAUCAAUAAGCGGAGGAGCAUAUCAAUAAGCGGAGGAACAUAUCAAUAAGCGGAGGAACAUAUCAAUAAGCGGAGGAACAUAUCAAUAAGGCGGAGGAAACAUUUCAUAAGCGGAAGAAUGCUAUAAGUAAUGGGAGGAGCAUAUUUCUGUGAAUAGUCGAAUCUUUGAACGCACCUUGCGCCUUUUGGAAUUCCGAAAGGCAUGCCUGUUUGAGUGUCAUGAAAUCUCAAUCCCAUCUGGUUUAUGAUCAGGUGUUGGACUUGGACAUGGGCGUCUGCCGGUCGCACGGCUCGCCUCAAAUGACUUAGUGGGAUCGCUAGCAUCCGUGACAGACGUAAUAAGUUUCGUCUUGUCCCUUGCGUGCGUCAAGCCUGCUCAGAACCCUGCUUGCCUCUGUGCAACACUUUUUUGACUCUGACCUCAAAUCAGGUAGGAAUACCCGCUGAACUUAAGCAUAUCAAUAAGCGGAGGAAA